CAACGAAAUAAAACCGAAUUUGACAAUAUCGGAAAAGAAUGGUUUGGAAGAUAAACCGAUAGAAUCCGUCAAAAAAUCCUGAACUCCAGUGUAACUUCCGUCUUUGGUCAGUGUCUUUUUCAAGAUCGGAGGAGAUCCUUGGGAGUGGACGUGGUUUAAACCGAGAGAGACCAUCGGUUGUCUAAAUAUAUAAAUUCCGGUUUGUAUAUGAUAAAAAAUAUAUUUAUAUACAAUGUUUUUUAGUAUAAUAUGUUUAUAUAGGUGGGGGUUAUGUAACUGUAUAUUCUUGAAUGAAUACUAAUAAGUUGAUGUCAACUUCUUUCCUGCAAUCUUCAUGGACUAAAGUGGUAGUACGAAGAUGAUUGACUAUGAGGAAUAAAUGGGAGGAACUUCAUUCAGAUCGCAUAUUCGAUGGUUUGUUGAUUUUUAUUGAUGAAAUAAAUCAAUAGUAACGGGCAGAGGAGAAAGAAGAGGAAUAGUUGCUUUAUGUAUAUGCGGUUAUAAUGUUUUUUAUAUUAGUUAUACCAGGAGCUAGGUCAAACAAAAUAAAUAUCACAUAGAAUAUAAAAUUGUAUAAUGACAUGGUAAUUAGUCAAAAACUUAAGAAAAUAUAAUAAAUGAGAUUGAUAAUGAUGAAGGCAAAAUAAACAUAGCAUGGAAUAGGAGGAGAAAAUGUCGAUUCUUCAAAAUUGGGAAAGGUAUUUGAUUUUAAAGCAAAAUUAGAGAGGAAAAAUAUUUUUUACCCAUAAUUUAAGGGAUUUGUUUUUCUUUUUGGAUAGAUCUAAUUAUGUAAGAUGAUAAAUGUCAAACAUUUUUUUUUU